GAUGAACGCUGACAGAAUGCUUAACACAUGCAAGUCAACUUGAAUUUGGGUUUUUACCUUAGGUUUGGGUGGCGGACGGGUGAGUAACGCGUAAAGAACUUGCCUCACAGCUAGGGACAACAUUUGGAAACGAAUGCUAAUACCUAAUAUUAUGAUAAUAGGGCAUCCUAUAAUUAUGAAAGCUAUAAGCGCUGUGAGAGAGCUUUGCGUCCCAUUAGCUAGUUGGAGAGGUAACGGCUCACCAAGGCGAUGAUGGGUAGCCGGCCUGAGAGGGUGAUCGGCCACAAGGGGACGGAGACACGGCCCUUACUCCUACGGGAGGCAGCAGUGGGGAAUAUUGGACAAUGGACCGAGAGUCUGAUCCAGCAAUUCUGUGUGCAAGAUGAAGUUUUUCGGAAUGUAAAGUGCUUUCAGUUGGGAAGAAACAAAUGACGGUACCAACAGAAGAAGUGACGGCUAAAUACGUG
rnacentral:rRNA from 1 species